rnacentral:rRNA from 1 species
UCUCAGUUCGGAUCGGAGUCUGCAACCCGACUCCGUGAAGCUGGAUUCGCUAGUAAUCGCGCAUCAGCCAUGGCGCGGUGAAUACGUUCCCGGGCCUUGUACACACCGCCCGUCAAGCCAUGGAAGCCGGGGGUGCCCUGAAGUGUGCAGCCGCAAGGAGCGCCCUAAGGUAAAACCGGUGACUGGGGCUAAGUCGUAACAAGGUAUC